UACAGGGGGGGCAAGCGUUGUUCGGAAUUACUGGGCGUAAAGGGUCUGUAGGUGGCCAACUAAGUCAGACGUGAAAUCCCUCAGCUUAACUGGGGAACUGCGUCUGAUACUGGAUGGCUUGAGUGUGGGAGAGGAAUGCGGAAUUCCAGGUGUAGCGGUGAAAUGCGUAGAUAUCUGGAGGAACACCGGUGGCGAAGGCGGUUCUCUGGGCCUUACCUGACGCUGAGGAGCGAAAGCGUGGGGAGCGAACAGG
rnacentral:rRNA from 1 species